CUGCUAACGCGGGGGUCCUGCGCUGCGCAUCGCAAUCCGUCGAAAACUUCGCAUCGUCGAAGGUACAAGCUGGAUUGCCCGCGCAUCGUGGGUGAGAAAUACCCUUUGAACCUGAUCUGGAUAAUGCCAGCGCAGGGAAGCGUUCGGGUUUCAACG
rnacentral:ncRNA from 1 species